AUAAUUACCUGGACGGGGUCAAUGGGCGAUCCAUAAGGCCCAUUGUCUAGGUUGGCGACCUCCAUUGCACUUUGGAGGGGUGCCUGCCUAAGAUCGGCACAAGUGGUCGAGUCUGCGUCAUAAUUUGUUCUAGAGGGGGCAAGCGUUGGCGCGGCCCCUUC